AAUGGCCGCGGUACUUUGACCGUGCUAAGGUAGCGCAAUCAAUUGGCUCUUAAUUGGGGUCAGGAAUGAAUGGAGUUUACGUGGUUCAGCUGUCUCUUAGUUAAUUUAUUGAAGUUACUAUGCAGGUGAAAAAGCCUGGAAGUAGAAAAAGGACGAGAAGACCCUUAGAGUUUUUCUUAAUGUAAGAGUAAAAUUAGUUCCUUAUACUGGUUUUGUUGGGGCAACAUGGGAGCAGAGUAAUCUCCUGGAUUAAAUUUACCGAUUUUGUUAAAUUUGAAUAAACUACCUUAGGGAUAACAGCAUAAUUAAAAAUUAAGUUUGUGACCUCGAUGUUGGACUAGGAAACUGAAGGCUAGCCGUCU
rnacentral:rRNA from 1 species